CUGUAGAAAACAGAGCUAGUGGCUUUGUGGGUUGAAAAGAGAGGGUACUUAUGCUUCCAAUUUACAUGAUUAUAGAAAAUGAUUGGGAAACUAGAAAAUGACAUAUACUGAUGAGUGAAACGUGAAGGACAGAGUGGAGCAGGUGAUGAUUGCCAUCAGCAUAGAUCAGGACGCGGAGAAUUUCAAUCACCAGGACAGCAGUGACACUGAGCGCGCAACCACUGCCAACAGCGCACAAAGCUCCCUUUGCUGCUCCUCACAGCCGGCAGAGGACGCCAGACCAGGGGCAAGAGACCCACUAGCGACCCUGACUCGCGGGCGCCGCUUCCGCAAGGAGACCAGCGCUCCGGGUCCGCAGAGUCGAGGCCGGGAGGCCUCGGGCGUAGGGUCCGCGGGCCGCGUCAGCAGCAAGUAAACGCCGCCUUUCACCGCUCUGACUACAGACAAGCAGCGCUACCGCCGCCUGCCCCGAGAUAUUUUUCUUAUGGAACAUUUUAGCUACACCGUUUUACCGAUGUGCCGGUGUAUUGAGGGAACGAACUGACGGCUCAAAAUCAGAUCGUGCAGUAGUCUGUGUUACAGAUUCGGGGCCGUUCCAGCAGAGAAAAACCCGAAUUCAGAGGAAGGGGCAAGUCAUGAACACUCGGGACGGGAGUCUGCAAAGCGCUGUCCACCUUUCAGUGGACAGGGGCACUCCGGGGAAAAGGAAAAUGUGUGCCCCUAUGUAGGUGAUUUUAUUAAGUUUUAAUGGUUUUUCCUACAACAAAACAGUUGAAAACACUUGAAAACUAAAAACUAUUAAAACACAUUAAGUUUAAAUAUUGGGCCAAAACCAGACUUAUUUUUUUUCGGUAAGUUUCUGAUUUUAAUGUAGGCAAACAUCAGGAUACUUUCAAAGUUACUUUUCUGCUUAUCUCAUUUUUAAUUAAGAGCAUUACCAUGUUUGGUAAUAUCUCAUGAACCAAUAACUAUCUUCAUUAAUUUCACCUUAUAGGAACUUUUUUAUCUCAUUUAUUUUAAGCAAGGGCUUUCUAUGAAGCAUUCAGCUUUACAUGCUGUAUAAUCAUGGUUUUCAUUGGAGAAUUUAACGUUUUCCACUUGGUUCAAAAUGUCAUCUCAAGUAGAUAAAUUGCAUAAAAAUGUGUAAUCUGUUUGCAUUAAGAUGCUUUCCAUUUCAGCAUAAUGUAGGUUUGCAUUUGAUACCAUUUACUAUUUAAUACAUAUCUUAUGUGCCAAUAAAUUGAUUUUGAUUUUUAUGUUCCUAGAUAUCCUUAAAUGUUUUAAAUGUAGUGCUUAAUACAGACAUGAUAAUUGCUCAUCUGCUAGUUGAAUUCAAAAAUGUAUAUAUACUCUUUGUACAAUACUUUUAAAAGGUUAUCUUAAUUCACAAAUACAAAAUUUUACAUAAGAUUUUGAGCUGAGUAAGGCACAAAUGUGACAUAAUCAUUUGGCUGGGAAAUAAUGGCUUUAUGCCUUAGUUUAUACCUGCCACCAUUGCCUCAUUAUCAUAUACUUGGCUAGCGUCAUUUUUAUGUUCAGAUCAUUUUCUAGUUUAAAAAUUUCACAAACUAGAUAUAUCGAAAUUUUUCUUUUAUUUUAAAAAUGCCAAUAAAGCAAUUGUUAACAUCAUUCUUGAUGUGAACAUAAUUGGCUCUAUAUAUUGUAUAAUCAAAAAAUAUUUUGUUU